rnacentral:rRNA from 1 species
AGAUCGAGAGAUGGAGCAAAUCCCAAAAAUAACGUCCCAGUUCGGACUGUAGUCUGCAACCCGACUACACGAAGCUGGAAUCGCUAGUAAUCGCGGAUCAGAAUGCCGCGGUGAAUACGUUCCCGGGUCUUGUACACACCGCCCGUCACACCAUGGGAGUCAGUAACGCCCGAAGUCAGUGACCUAACCGAAAGGGAGGAGCUGCCGAAGGCGGGACGGAUGACUGGGGUGAAGUCGUAACAAGGUAUC